CCGCCUUCGCGGCGCUCGUUUCCUGGCGCUCCCCACCUUUAGCGAGACCAACGAGAGAACACCGCCUGCAGCUAGAACAGCCUGGUCAGGAGCGUAACGGAGUGGUGCGCCAACGUGAGAGGAAACCCGUGCGCGGCUGCGCUUUCCUGUCCCCAAGCCGUUCUAGACGCGGGUUGGAGUGCAAUGGCGUGAUCUCGGCUCAUCCCAACCUCCACCUCCCGGGUUCAAGCAAUUCUCCUGCCUCAGCCUCCCGAGUAGCUGGGAUUACAGACGGAGUCUUGCUCUGUCGCCCAGGCUGGAGUGCAGUGGCACAAUCUCGGCUCACUGCAACCUCCGCCUCCCAGGUUCAAGCAAAUCUCCUGCCUCAGCCUCCUGUGUAGCUGGGAUUACAGGCACGCGCCACCACGCCCGGCUAAUUUUUUUUUUUUUUUUUUUUUUUGUAUUUUUAGUAGAGACAGGAUUUCACCAUGUUGGCCAGGGUGGUCUCAAUCUUCUGACCUCAUGAUCCACCCACCUUGGCUCCCAAAGUGCUGGGAUUACAGGCACGCGCCACCAUGCCCAGCUAAUUUUUGUUUUUUGUUUGGUUGGUUUUUGAGACGGAGUUUCGCUCUGUUGUCCAGGCUGGAAUGCAGUGGUGCGAUCUCAGCUCACUGCAAGCUCCGCCUCCCGGGUUCAUGCCACUCUCCUGCCUCAGCCUCCCGAGUAGCUGGGACUACAGGCGCCCACCACUGCGUCCGGUUAAUUUUUUGUAUUUUUAGUAUAGACGGGGUUUCACGUUAGCCAGGAUGGUCUCGAUCUCCUGACCUCGUGAUCCGCCCACCUUGGCCUCCCAAAGUACUGGGAUUACAGGCGUGAACCACCGUGCCCGGCCUUCCCCAGAUAUCUUCAAAGCAACUGCUAGUCCUGCUUUUGCACAUUACACUCUACAUUCUCAUUGCCCCACUUAACUAACCCUCCCUCAUGUCCUUUUCUAAAGAUGUAGAAGACUUUGAAAUAGCAUAACAUUUAAAUGGUCACAAAUCACCUGGCUUGAAAGUGACUAAUAAUAGGAAAAUCAGACCUCAGGACUGAGUUCAAUUUCAAGAUUCUCCCACUCCACUUUGCUAAGAGGGAAACAGAAAAACAUUACUCCAGCCACACAAAUAUGAUACUGUGCAAGUAUCCCACUCUUACUCAUUCAAAUCCUACCCAUUUUUUCCCAUCGUGGAACAGAGUCUUGCCAACUUAUACCUCUCUCCAAUAACCCAUAAAGAUGGUGAUUUGAAUUUGGGCCAAGAUUUAACAUUUUAUGAAAUACAAGAGGAGAGUUUUCUGCAAAACACAGGAUUUGCAGACAAGGAGACUUAGGUUCAAAUUCCAGUUCUGCCAUUUAUUACCUCAGAGAGGUCAUACAACUUUCCUGAAGUUGUAUGACCUCUCUGAGCCUUAGUCUCCUCGUUUGUAAAAUGAGAGUUAAAAUCUACCUCAUGGAAUCAUUGCUAAGAUUAAGCAAGAUAUAUAAGUAGAGCUUGUGCACAUGGUAGGUACUUGGAGAAUGUUAUUUCUCCUUCCCUCUUACUCAUCUGGACAAGUUUAACUAGAAUUCUAAACAGUUAAAUAUGUAUCAAUCCUUUGUAUUAAAUAUCUUGAUGGUAAAAUGUUAAAAUAUUGAUGUGAAUAACAGCUGGUAUUGAAUAUUCAAAUUAGGGGAACUCUUUCAUUGUUUUAAGAUAACAUCUGUACAUUUAAUCUGUGCCAUGCAAUAAAACAGCUUUUCCUG
rnacentral:lncRNA from 10 species